UUUUCUUUCCCCUACGUUCUUUCUUCUCUUCUUCUCCUCUCCUCCUCUAUUCUUCCUGCGUCUCUACAACCUCUUCUUCCUUCUCCUUCUCUUGUUCUUCCUUCUUUUCCUCUUUCCCCGCACUGGUGCUGCAUCAACUUGGUAUCAGAGCAAGGCUGGUUUUGCCCCUGCUGCCAAAGCCCCGAUCCAACAACAGCCUUCCUUUUCC
rnacentral:lncRNA from 1 species